rnacentral:lncRNA from 1 species
CUUUCUUUUCUAUAACUGUAUGUAAUUUCUGUUUUGAGCUAUCAUCCUAUCUGGUGGUAAGUCAAAACAGAGCUAAAACAGAGCAUGUCCAUUUGGUCAUGUCUGCUUUUCCCAAGAGGUGCUUCUAAGUGUUAAGUGAGAGUCGAUAGUGCAUUUGAUCUAUGAGUUUAUGUCCCUGAGCUGGAAUCUGUUGAGAUGUCCAGUGGUUCUUUGGGCCCUCAAUUGCCUGCCCACUCAGGUUUCUAAAUUAUUCUCCAUUCAUAUCUGAAAUCUCCUUUAGAGCCUGUGGGUUUCAUUCCUACAUCUGUGCCAGUUUUGAUCUCUCAGGAAUGAUUCAGCAAGUUCAGUGGUGCACUGAGUUACAGGCAGGAAACUGGGAGGCUCUCUAAAGGCAUACUUGCCUACACAUAACAGGCCAUCCUUUCUUCUCAUACGUCUCCCUAGCUUCCUGGGCACAAGGAACAUCAUUCCUUCUCAUGCAUGGUCUGCAGUGAUGGGAACUGAAUGCACCAGCAGCAGCCAUAUGAGCUUGGAGGCAGAUCCUGCUCCAAUUGAGACUCAGCUGAGACUGCAGCCCCAGUUGACACCUUGAUUGCAGCUUCAUAAGAUCCUGAAUCAGGGAAUCCAUCUCAGCUGUGCCUAGACUCCUAACCCGUAGAAAUGCGAAAGGAAGAGCAAGCUACUCUCACCUGGGAGGUCCAGCUGGUGAAGACCACAAGAGACUGUCUCCAGUGGGUGAGGUGUUCUCCCUCCAAGGCUUUUACUAUUCACCCUCGUCUCUCACAAAUGCCCCAGAUCAGGCUGGCCGGGCCACUACCUCACUGAUCUCUAUAUGUUCAGCAUUUUCUGUCUCUCCCAGCCCUUGCCAGAGCUUCUCCUGCUUCCUGAUGUCCCACCUCAUCCUGCCUAUUCUCUCCAGUCCCAGUUCUGAAUUGCUAUUUUCUGAAUGCUGUGUCCCCCUCAAAUCUGUAGGUUGAAACCUAUUCACCAAGUGAUGGUGCCAGGUGGCGGGGCCUUUGGGAAGUGACUAGGUUACAGGGCAGAGCCCUCAUGAAUGGGACUCAUACCCUUAGGAAAGAGCCUUGAGGGAGCUCAUUUACUGCUUCCACAUGUGUGGUCACAGAAAGAGGCAUCAUCUAUGAACAAGAAUACAGGCCCUCACCAGACACCAAAUCUGCUGGUUUCUUGAUCUUGGACUUCCCAACCUCUGGAGCUGUGAGGAAUAAAUUUCUGUU